GGCCUUGUGGUCUAGUGGUAUGACUCUCGCUUAGGGUGCGAGAGGUCCCGGAUUCGAUCUCCGGCAAGGCCC
rfam:Phytophthora infestans T30-4 supercont1.2 genomic scaffold, whole genome shotgun sequence.